AGCAUAGGACCUCAGUGGCAGAGCAUCUGCUUUGCAUGCAGAAGGUGCUGCCUGGGUUCAACCCUUGGCAUCCCCAGGUAGGGCUA